CUGGCCUCGAACUCAGAAAUCCGCCUGCCUCUGCCUCACGAGUGCUGGGAUAAGUAAAGCAUAUUUAUUACCUUAAAAAUAGACUAUAAUUUAUAAUUUACUGAUGGCUUUUUUACAUCAAAAGUUUCCUGUGGUAGGUCUCAGCUUUGUUCAUGUUGACUGCAGAGAUGUUUUGAUUUCCUGUGUCCAUGUUUGUUUAGUUGUUGUUGGUGCUGCUGUUUGUUUUUCAUGGUCAAGGUUAAAUAUUCUAAUAUAUAUGUUACAAGAUAUUUGGCCACACCAUAAAACCAGAGGUUGUGUUAUUUACUGGAAAAACCUGUUUUUUAGAUAUGGUGUGGCUCAGUCUUAGCACACACCUUUAAUUCAAGAGUUUUCUGCUUGAAUAUUUUAAACAGGAUUAAAGUUAACCAUAGGUCAACAGGUAGAACAAGUAACCAGUUGACAGAAACGAACAUAGGACUAUUAAGAAAAAUACCAGCCGGGCGUGGUGACACAUGCCUUUAAUCCCAGCACUUGGGAGGCAGGCAGAUUUCUUGAGUUCCAGGACAGCCUGGUCUACAAAAUGAGUUCCAGGACAGCCAGGGCUAUACAGAGAAACCCUGUCUCGAAAAACCAAAAAAAAAAAAACCAUAGAGAGUAAAGGGAGUCAGGACAAUGGAUAGAGAGGCGCACAGGAAAUAGAAAGGAGGGAUAUUAAAUUAGAAGGUUUUUGAGGUAUGGGAGAAGGCAUUCCUUCUGGGACACUGACUGAGGAGGAAGGUCAGCUGGGUGCUUUCUCUGCACUCUCUAAGGUAGCAGGCUUUCACCUCAGCAUCUGGCUCCCGAGUCUUUAUUAGUAAAAUUAAAUGAUUGAGAUUUUGUUAAAAAACAAAGGUAACAACAGUGUCGUGGUGGUGGUGGUGGUGGUGGUGGUGGUGGUGGUGGUGGUGGUGUGGGAUUUAACCCAAGCCUUUGUACAUGUUAGGCUUGUGUUCUACCACUGAGCCAUACUGCCAGCCCCCCAAACAUUUUCAAUAAUUGCUUCUCUAACAGUUCUUUCCUGGGUUCUUUGCUUCGAGCAAUUAUGCCUGCAAUGAUAUGAACAUUCUAAAGUCACCAAGAUAAAUUCUAUAUUUUAAUAUUAUAUGAUCUUCUAAUUGUGCUAGUUAACAGAAAAAAAAAAAAAUCCAAGGCCAGCCACAAAAUAUCCUUUUGAACCACAAAAUAUCAAAUCCCCAACUGUGGCUAUAGCUCAGUGGUAGAGCACUUGACUAGCAAGUGUAGGGCUCCAGGUCCAAGGCCCAGUGCACACACAUAUGUAUAAUGUUAUUCUUUUGUUUGUUUGAUUUUUGAGACCAGGUCUAGCUGUCCUAGAACUUGCUAUGUACAAUAAGCUGGCUUCAAACUCAGAGGGAGCUGCCUGCCUCUGUCUCCCAAGUGCUGUGUGCAUGUGCCACUACACCCAGCACAAAUUUACUUUCAGAAAAACCAAGCAGAGCAAAACAUUGUAACAUGGACCUACAGUUCUAACUCAUUCUGCAAGCUAAGUAGUUCCAGGCCAACACAGUGAGAUCCUGUCUCAAAACAAGAAAAAAAAAAAAAAAAAAAA